GGGUUAGUAGAUUGGUUAUGCCACUGGUAUGUACUGGUCUCACUGAUUCCUCCUUCCUGAUGAACCGUAAUGCCAUUAAUUUGGUGUUGCGGGGAGACUGGACUGUUACUUUGAAAAAAUUAGAGUGUUUAAAGCAAGCUAACGCUUGAAUACAUUAGCAUGGAAUAAUGAAAUAGGACGUUCGAUCCUAUUUUGUUGGUUUCUAGGAUUGACGUA
rnacentral:rRNA from 2 species